rnacentral:rRNA from 1 species
CCAAUAGCGUAUAUUAAAGUUGUUGCAGUUAAAAAGCUCGUAGUUGAAUUUCGGAAUCUGUCCGUCGGUCGGGCUUCAUUGUCCGUACUGGUGUGAUGGGUUCUUACCUUCUGAAUAACCAGCAUGCCAUUUAUUUGGUGCGUUGGGGAAGCAGGACUAUUACCUUGAAAAAAUUAGAGUGCUCAAAGCAGGCUAGUGCCUGAAUAUAUUAGCAUGGAAUAAUAAAAUAGGACGGCAUGGUUCUAUUUUGUUGGUUUCUAGGAUCACCGUAAUGAUUAAUAGGGAUAGUUGGGGGCAUUAGUAUUCAAUUGUCAGAGGUGAAAUUCUUGGAUUUAUUGAAGACUAACUUCUGCGAAAGCAUUUGCCAAGGAUGUUUUCAUUAAUCAAGAACGAAAGUUAGGGGAUCGAAGACGAUCAGAUACCGUCGUAGUCUUAACCAUAAACUAUGCCGACUAGGGAUCGGACGAUGUUAAUUUUUUAAUGACUCGUUCGGCGCCUUACG